GACGAACGUUGGCGGCGUGCUUAAUGCAUGCAAGUCAACUGAAGCAGUGGUAGCAAUCUCGCUGUGGAGGUGGCGCACGGGUGAGUAACACGUAGGUAAUCUGCCUUCAGGUCUGGCAUAACUCCGGGAAACCGGGGCUAAUAGCAGAUGAUGCAGCGGCUCGACAUCGAGACAGUUGUUAAAGCUAUGGCGCCUGAAGAUGAGCCUGCGUCUGAUUAGCUAGUUGGCGGGGUAACGGCCCACCAAGGCAACGAUCAGUAGCUGGUCUGAGAGGAUGAUCAGCCACACUGGAACUGAGACACGGUCCAGACUCCUACGGGAGGCAGCAGUAAGGAAUAUUGCUCAAUGGGAGAAAUCCUGAAGCAGCAACGCCGCGUGAGGGACGAAGGGCUUUUGCUUGUAAACCUCUGUAGUGAGAGAAAAAAAUCCCAAUCUUUGGGACAUGAUGGUAGCUCAAAAGUAAGCCCCGGCUAACUACGUG
rnacentral:rRNA from 1 species